CAAACUGGGAAUGGGCCUGGUUGUUGGAUUUGGCUCCAGGAGAGACAGCUCAGUGGGAGGAUUACCCCCACAGAUGCGUCUCACUGGAUGGCUGCAAAUUAAUGAAUUAUUUUAGGUGAUGACUAAAGUUUCCCCGGAUAUUUAAAGUAUGACUGGGGAAGUAUUUCCCAACCGGAGACAGGAAGUCCUGUAUGAUGAAAUUGAUAACGAAACAUCUACCGGUAUGUCGACAAUCUGCAGCAUUCUCCUGCAAUCCCGCGAUCAAUUUAGAGGUCACGAGUCGAUGAGCGUCCCUGAUGAUAUCUUCAACGGAUGCACGUUCAUCGCAGACAACUCCUCCCUCAAGCACCGCCCACCACAGAGUGAAGGACAAGCCACACACGUCUCAGCAGAACUACCAGACUCCAACCACAAUAGCCACAAUAUAUCGCCACAGAUAUGUUGAUGUCAAAAACGGAUAAGCCUCACUGUUGAUUGUCUCAAGGAUAAUCCGAGGAAGCCCCAGCAGACACUCCUACAAAGGAGGCACUGACUCCCAGAGAAAGGUCUGAAGACCGUAAAGACAACCCGGCCUUUCUAUUUUACCAUCAUACGGAUAAACACUGUCGUGCAUCCCCGCGUGUGAUCACGCAUUUUACCAACACAUGGUCGAUAGGCAAAUAUGCUAAGCUACAUUGCUAGCUUGACACAAAAUGACAGAUAACCCCCGAAUGUUAAGACACUGACCUAGGUAGAGCACCGUAGGAAUGAAGCCCCAUCGGAUGACGAACUGGCCGCAUUGGAAGACCUGCUGCAGCCGCUGCUUGGUCUCUUUACUCAGUUUAGCCAUGGCUCAAAGGCAGAGCUUCAGACGCGGCAGGCAGCUUCGUGUGGAUUACAAGCA